rnacentral:rRNA from 1 species
UAAACUAGGAUUAGAUACCCUAUUAUUUAAAGUGUUUAUUUAUGGAUGAUUUUGUUAAGUUAAUAAAAUUGGCGGUUUCUUUUCUAAUUAGAGGAAUUUGCUUCGUGAGGGAUGAGACGCCUAAAAAUUUACUUUUUUUAUAGGUUUUUAUACCGCUGUUUUAAAGUAAUUUGUUUAUAUUUCUUUGAUAAUUCAUUUUGAGAAAAGGAAAAAUUUUUGCAAUAUGAAUUAAUAAUUCAAGUCGAGGUGAAGCAAUAGAAAAGAGAGAGUGAAUUACAAUAAAUAUUUUUAUUACGGAUUUUAGAGUUAAAGUUUUUUGAAGGUGGAUUUAAAGGUAAAAUUUUUAUGGAAAUUUGAUUGGGGUUUGGAGAAAUGUACAUAUCGCCCG